CCUAACCUCAUCUGUUUCAACCUAUCCACCCGUCGCUCCCACCCUCCACCAUCUGCCUCCCUCUCGUUCCAUUUCACUCGCCGCCGCCCCAUCUCACGCCAUCCUGGCCGGUGCCUUCCAUCCACUCCAUCCCUCGGGCACAGGGACGAGGAGGCUCACCAUAGCUUGACGAGGAGGUCAAGGGCGACGCCAACCCUAGGUCUUGGUGGAUCCAUCCCUUUGACCUUCGGAGACUGGCAUGCUGCACUCGGAGGCCAAGCGCGGCGCCCCACCUAAAAUAAUCAGCCAAUCGGGCCCUCGACAAGGAUGAUGCAGAGGACGACGCCAUCCCCAGGUGCGAGGCUUCUACCAGCACACCAAGAAGAGGGGAGCAGGCCCAAGAUCCUCGCAUCUAGAAGAAGAUCCAGUGGAUUGUAGGUUUUACUAGCUCCCAGUUUUGCUAAUGGCAGUGAGGAUCAGUCUUUGAAGAUAUGGAAACGAUUUGGUAUUCUAAAUUCAAGGGCAUUUCUCAUGUCAAACUUGUACAUAUAUUCUCUCAUCAACGCAUGAAACCUGACUAAGUUAUGGCUGAUCUGUUCUACAAAUUGUCUUGUCUAAAGAAAUUUAAACUUGUGGCUAACUACUAAAUGUUUAAGCACUUUUUAUACAAAUGAUUGCUAUUGAAAUGGAUGACUUGCCAAGAUUAUUCUCUAGUAGUUUAACUGAAGAAUUCAUUUGUCAUGUGUAUAUGUUCAGACAUUGGACUUUUGUUUGUUUUACUAUAUCACUAAGUACCAUCAAGUCUUACAUGCUUGUGAGCAAGCCAUUUGUGCCAUUUAUUGCAUUGUGUUUUUAAUUGUGCCUUUGUUACCUAGCUGUUUAUUACAGCAGUCAUUUCACUUCAUAUUGGACUCUCCUUUACUAUUUUGUUUGUAAAACUCGUAGCAUGAAAAUUUCUGAGUUUAUUACUACUACUUUUUUUUCUGAAUUGACAUUUUUCUCAUCUCUCUUUUCCAGCAGCUUGUGCCCAUCUGUUCCUUCUAUCUCUCUUAUCUAUACAGCAGUGACAGUCGUUAGUGUUCAUGCUUUCCCUAGUUUCCAGAUAGCAGCAGCAGCCUAAGACAAGCAGGUCAGUCCAUUGGCAGUGAGCGGCAUUUAUUCUGGCAGUUGGCAGCCUUGAUUUUCAGAUCAACAACAGCUGUAGCUAUCAACUUUCUUGACUCUGAUCAGCUUUGCAACUACAGAGUUUGGUUUUGUUCUCAAAUUUGCAAAAAUUCAGCACAUUUACCAUUUACUUAUUCUUUUAGCUAUCAUUUUAGUUUAAAACCUUUAACUUCAGCUUAGUUCAUAACCUUUAGCUUAGCUGUUUGCUUGCCUUGGUUCAGUACAGUAGUGCAGUUCAGCAGCAAAGCAGCUAGGCACCUUUCAUCUUGAGUAAUUGUCCCUUUUCGUUAACUGUGGUCAUACAAGUUAUAGAAAAAGGUUUUCCAUUAGUUAACCGUGGUUUUUCUCCCUUUUGGUUGAUCCGUUGUAAUGUCCAAAAUGUCUAAUACUAACAUUCUGUAUUUUUAUGCAGGAUAAAUAAAUGCCACUCUGUUUGAUCGAAGGAUGAUGUAUAUUAAAGUUUACUAUUUUUGCUAUCAAGUAUAUUGUAUUUUUUGGCCUAUAAGUUUGUAAAUGUUGAAUUCAUUGUGUACAUCAACUCAUUAUUAUAUGAAUAAAUAAAUGUCUAUUUGUA